rnacentral:rRNA from 1 species
CCGGCCGCCAGCGGCGCUCGCAAAGUUCGGAUCCGCAAGGACCGGGCCAGCGGGACGUCCGCGUGGCCGAGGUGCACUUUCUCCGCGGUCGAGUGCUACGACCGGUUUCGAGGCGGUCAGAAGCCCGGCGGAAAGGUAGCGCCGCCCUUCGGGGUGUCGUGUUAUAGGCCGCCGCGGUGGACUCGCCGCGAGACCGAGGACGCUUGCCGCGCCGAGCGGUCCCGGGCCGUCUUGGGAGGUUCGACCUCGGCUGCACUGCUCCGCAGAGCACCGUAACCGCCGCCCUAGCACGGGUCCGGAGACUGCCGGCGCCUCGGGUCAGUAGCG